GACGAACGCUGGCGGCGUGCUUAACACAUGCAAGUCGAACGAUGAAGCCGCUUCGGUGGUGGAUUAGUGGCGAACGGGGUGAGUAACACGUGGGCAACCUGCCCUCAGCUUUGGGAUAACUCCGGGAAACCGGGGCUAAUACCGGAUACGACCAUUCCCCGCAUGGGGUGGUGGUGGAAAGUUUUUCGGCUGGGGGAUGGGCCCGCGGCCUAUCAGCUUGUUGGUGGGGUGAUGGCCUACCAAGGCGUCGACGGGUAGCCGGCCUGAGAGGGCGACCGGCCACACUGGGACUGAGACACGGCCCAGACUCCUACGGGAGGCAGCAGUGGGGAAUAUUGCGCAAUGGGCGAAAGCCUGACGCAGCGACGCCGCGUGAGGGAUGACGGCCUUCGGGUUGUAAACCUCUUUCAGCUCCGACGAAUUCAGACGGUAGGAGCAGAAGAAGCACCGGCCAACUACGUG
rnacentral:rRNA from 1 species